CCCUUGCCUGCCCCAUCGGAGCCGCCGGAGGUGGAGUCCGCCCCCCGGACCCCCGAACUCCUGUGCGUGCCCCUCCAUGGUGCUCUAGGCUGUGGAGGGCAAGGCCAGUCCCCGGGAGCAGGGUGAGGAAGGGGCCCCCACGCAGCCCUGCUGUGGAUUGGCGGGAGGACCCCAGGCUGGGCCAACCCAGCAGCCCGCGGCCAGGAGCGGGCAUCCCAAUGGGGAAAUCGGCCAGGAGGGGCUGGGGAAGCUGGUGCCUUCGCCCGCGCCCCGUGAGCUUUACCUCCGUGCGACAAGAGCGGUGGCUCCGGGCGGGGCCCACGCAGCUGGAGCCUCCAUCUCUCCUGCGGGACCAGAGCACCGGGAAGACCUGACCGAGACCCAACGUCCCUGCCCCCGUUCUGGGGCUCUCUGCAGGCCCCAACUUCUGCGGGACUCUCCAGUGGGAGCAGCAAGGGUUCUCAGGAACAACCCCUAUACAAACCGGGACAGAGGCACCUCACUACUCCUUCUGUGCCCCACCUUCUCCACUGACCCUGCCGGAGUGCAGCACACACAGCAAGCAUUUAAUAAAUCGCUUGAAGUGGGGAACAUCUGUACUCGGUAAAGAAACCACAGGAAUUGGGAACUGCCGGUUGAAGAUUAUUUACCAGUUCCAGCAAAAUUGACUGCACCUGCCAUACUGCAGGCCGGUGCAGCAUCAGGAGCUGGAGACCAGGGGCAACAGGCAGCACGCGUGCUCCAGCUCAGAGUGGAAGGCCCUGGGAAAUGGUUUGAUUUCCUGCGCUGAACUGAUGCUGCUUCCAGAAUGAAUCUGCUCCUUGGUGGGUUCUGCUGAUGUGGCCAGUGCUAGCCUAGGCCACGACCACCUAGCCCACCACCCAGAAGGCAGCAUCCCCUGCUCCUGCUUUAACAAGCUGGCCCAUUUUCAUCUCUCCUACCUCUGGGAGUAGCAGGGGCGCUCCCGGAAGCUGACACCCCCUCCACAGGUCCGGCUGCAGGGGCUCCACUGGCUCCAGGGUCCCCAGGUGUCACUCUGCCGCCUCACCUUGGGAGCCUGCAGAAGACAGGACCAUGCAUCAGCAUUGCCCACUCACAGCCUGAGCCCAGAGGCCCCUCCAAAGAUGCUCUGCCUAAAACCCUCCCCUACCCAUCAAGGAGUCUGGGAUUCUCCCUUCCAGGGCCCACCUUUAGGACUCAGCAACACUGCCGGGCACCCCAAAACAUAUUCCUUUUCAGAAUUAGCCUGCUUUCCUCAUAAGGAGCUGAGAGCCAGGCCUGGAGGGCGGGAGCAGGAGCAGCUGGGAAGAGUUUGGAGUUUCAGGGGCCACUGGAGGGGAGGGACCCUACAGCCAGGGGCAGUUUGAGGGUCCAGGCAUUUGUAGGUUAACCGUGAUGUAGGGGAGGGGGGCCUAAAAGAAAAUAAAGGGAAGCAACGUGGGGGGAUCCUGCUAAUCUGGCCGAGACUCCCAGGAGUACCCCAAUAUUCAUCCCCUCCUUCUCCCAUUGUGAGAGAAUGCUUGAAAACUUGACUCAGCUGGGUACCUGGCUGCCCAAAAUUUAAAAAAAAAAUACAUUUCCUGGACUGCCUGCAGCUAACUGUGGCUACAUCACUUAGUUCUCAUCAGUGAGAUGUAAAUACAAGUGUUGGGCAGCUGCCGCAAAUAAUCUCCUCAAGAG
rnacentral:lncRNA from 1 species